UACGAAGGGUGCAAGCGUUACUCGGAAUUACUGGGCGUAAAGCGUGCGUAGGUGGUUUGUUAAGUCUGUUGUGAAAGCCCCGGGCUCAACCUGGGAAUGGCAAUGGAUACUGGCAAGCUAGAGUGCGGUAGAGGGUAGUGGAAUUCCCGGUGUAGCGGUGAAAUGCGUAGAGAUCCGGAAGAACACCGGUGGCGAAGGCGGCCCGCUGGCCAACUGCUGACACUGAGGCGCGACAGCGUGGGGAGCAAACAGG
rnacentral:rRNA from 1 species